UGAGGCGUGGCUUCCGGAGCUAACGCGUUAAGUCGACCGCCUGGGGAGUACGGCCGCAAGGUUAAAACUCAAAUGAAUUGACGGGGGCCCGCACAAGCGGUGGAGCAUGUGGUUUAAUUCGAUGCAACGCGAAGAACCUUACCUACUCUUGACAUCCAGAGAACUUAGCAGAGAUGCUUUGGUGCCUUCGGGAACUCUGAGACAGGUGCUGCAUGGCUGUCGUCAGCUCGUGUUGUGAAAUGUUGGGUUAAGUCCCGCAACGAGCGCAACCCUUAUCCUUUGUUGCCAGCGGUCCGGCCGGGAACUCAAAGGAGACUGCCAGUGAUAAACUGGAGGAAGGUGGGGAUGACGUCAAGUCAUCAUGGCCCUUACGAGUAGGGCUACACACGUGCUACAAUGGCAUAUACAAAGAGAAGCGACCUCGCGAGAGCAAGCGGACCUCAUAAAGUAUGUCGUAGUCCGGAUCGGAGUCUGCAACUCGACUCCGUGAAGUCGGAAUCGCUAGUAAUC
rnacentral:rRNA from 1 species